GAGACAUCCUGCAGAGCAACGGAGGGCUGCAGGUUCCUCUUCAUAGCACACACACACACACACACACACACACACACACACACACACACACACACACAAAAUAACAGAAACACCUGAGCUGUGUGAUAAAGGCUCAGUAGGACGAUCAGGCCGACUCUCUCGCUCACACACUCUCGACACAAGCGAGGCCGCUGACAGACGACGAGCAGGAUGGAGGUAAAACUUUAAACUUUCUGUGUGAAUGGUUUUAAUAUGAUGUGAUAUAAAUAUAUAUAUAAAUAAAUAUAUAAAUGUGAUAAUAAAUCUGCAGGUUAGGGUUUGUUGAGUGGCUGCAUCAGAUCUCCGUACUGUGGAAAUGUUGUUUUAUUACAGUCGUCUUCAUACAUUCAUAUUGUGUGUGUAACACUUUGCUCUCAGCGGUGUGAAAGAACACAUUGAUUUUAUUAAGCAAUAUGAAUAUUACAUUAUAUAUAUUUAUAAAUUAUAACAGCUUCCACAAACAGUUUCUGGAUGUAGAAACUCAAAUAUUUGGUUGAGUGAGUUGAUGAAAUCUCAUAUUUAUAAGAAGAUCUGGUUUCCGUGUUUUAAAUUCCACGUGAGCUAGAUCGAAGGCCGGAUGUCCAACAGCACUUAAGCACAGCACAUAUUUGAGGAUCAGACAAACGCCUCAAACAUCCGCAGAUGAAAUGCAAACGAUGUCGCACACGAAACACGAUGCAGUCAGAUAUUGGUUCUGUUUGUGAGGGAGAGAAACUCCUGCAGCUCUUUUAACACGUUGGUGAAACUUGUUUUCUUAGAGUGACGUUAUUUAUUACAUAUUUAUCUUUAAUAAGCUGCAGAGCAACGUGAGACUGAGCUGGAGGUUACUGCAGGGCACAGAGAGCAACAACGAUGGAAACAUACGGAGCUGAAUAUUACAUUAUAUCUCCUUUAUGCUCUUAAAGGUCAAAACAAAAACAAAAGAUAAACCAAUUAUAUAUUCAACUACUACAACUCCCAUGAGGCCGAGUCAGAGAAGAGCCAACAAAGCAUCAUAGGAGCUGUACAACGCCCUCUCCACGAUGACUCGACUUUUACCACCGAGUGUGGAGGAUGGGAACCGGAGAGCAACCGAAGGCUGCAGUUCCUCUAACGACCACUAGAGGCCGGCUCCAGCAGGGAGGCUCCAUAAGGCCCCGUAGUCAAAGACACAUGUUUACAACUGUACGAGGGUGAAUUCAUAUAACACUCAGCCCUUUAAGUUAUAUUACGGAUUCAUGUUCUGCAUAAUUAAGGGCGGGGCCGCUUUGAGUGACAGGUGGGCGUCGUCACAGGUGACCAGGCUUCAUUCAGCUCCACCUCUUUGACCAUUGUUUUAGCUCUGUAGCUAAAUACUAGCUAACUAGCUGAUCUCCAUCUACAGCCAGAUGUAUUAGCUAGAUGUUACAAGCUAAUUAUUGAUGCCGAUUAGCUUGCUAAUUAGCUUUUUGCUAACAUUUUCAUAUCAGAUUAGCUAGCUAAUGAUUGAACUAGCUAGUUAGCUACUUUCAUAAGAUGAUACGACGCACAAACAUUCGACCCUGAACUUUACUCGAGAACGUUUUUUAACAAAUAUGUAAACUUUCUACCACUUUCAAACCGGCUCGUCACUUUAGUUUUAAUGCAUUUGAGGGAAUUAUUGAUUAUUAUUGUUAUUGUAAGAGAGUAAUUUAUACUCACUGAGUAAAGAGUACUUACAGAG